AUAGUAAAUCAAUUUUGAGAAGAGAAAUCAUUUAUCAUUUAAUCACAACAAAGUUCUAUUUACCCACAAUCAAACUUCUCAGUAACGAUCCUGUUUCAGGCUCACCCUGCUCAACUCACAAGACAGCGGACUGUUCCAUUAUGCCUAUAUGUGUUACCCUAAUUAACCUUCUAGUUCAGUGUCUGUCAAUUGGGUGCCUGUAAAAUGGGU